UACGUAGGGUGCGAGCGUUGUCCGGAAUUAUUGGGCGUAAAGAGCUCGUAGGCGGUCUGUCGCGUCGGUCGUGAAAACUUGGGGCUUAACCCUGAGCUUGCGGUCGAUACGGGCAUGACUGGAGUUCGGCAGGGGAGACUGGAAUUCCUGGUGUAGCGGUGAAAUGCGCAGAUAUCAGGAGGAACACCGGUGGCGAAGGCAAUCCCCUGGGCCUGCACUGACGCUCAUGCACGAAAGCGUGGGGAGCAAACAGG
rnacentral:rRNA from 1 species